GAUGAACGCUGGCGGCGUGCCUAAGAAAUGAAAGUAGAGUGAACAGACGAGGAGCUUGCUCCUCUGAUGUUAGCGGCGGACGGGUGAGUAACACGUGGAUAACCUACCUAUAAGACUGGGAUAACUUCGGGAAACCGGAGCUAAUACCGGAUAACAUGUUGAACCGCAUGGUUCAACAGUGAAAGACGGUCUUGCUGUCACUUAUAGAUGGAUCCGCGCCGCAUUAGCUAGUUGGUAAGGUAACGGCUUACCAAGGCAACGAUGCGUAGCCGACCUGAGAGGGUGAUCGGCCACACUGGAACUGAGACACGGUCCAGACUCCUACGGGAGGCAGCAGUAGGGAAUCUUCCGCAAUGGGCGAAAGCCUGACGGAGCAACGCCGCGUGAGUGAAGAAGGUCUUCGGAUCGUAAAACUCUGUUAUUAGGGAAGAACAAAUGUGUAAGUAACUAUGCACGUCUUGACGGUACCUAAUCAGAAAGCCACGGCUAACUACGUG
rnacentral:rRNA from 1 species